rnacentral:rRNA from 1 species
GAUGAACGCUGGCGGCGUGCCUAACACAUGCAAGUCGAGCGAUUCUCUUCGGAGAAGAGCGGCGGACGGGUGAGUAACGCGUGGGUAACCUGCCCUGUACACACGGAUAACAUACCGAAAGGUAUGCUAAUACGAGAUAAUAUGCUUUUAUCGCAUGGUAGAAGUAUCAAAGCUCCGGCGGUACAGGAUGGACCCGCGUCUGAUUAGCUAGUUGGUGAGGUAACGGCUCACCAAGGCGACGAUCAGUAGCCGACCUGAGAGGGUGAUCGGCCACAUUGGAACUGAGACACGGUCCAA